rnacentral:rRNA from 1 species
UACAUGGGGUGCAAGCGUUGCUCGGAAUCAUUGGGCGUAAAGCGCGCGUAGGCGGUUACACAAGUUGGAUGUGAAAGCCCUCGGCUUAACUGAGGAAGUGCAUCCAAAACUGUGCAGCUAGAGUACUAAAGAGGGUCGCGGAAUUCCCGGUGUAGAGGUGAAAUUCGUAGAUAUCGGGAGGAACACCGGUGGCGAAGGCGGCGACCUGGGUAGAUACUGACGCUGAGGCGCGAAAGCGUGGGGAGCAAACAGG